AAACUUGCUCUCGAAUUCUUCUCUUUUACAUUUCUCGAUCGAAUUUCACUCAUUAACUUCCUCUUCCAAUCGCCUACACGCUACACAGGCGAUGCUACCAUCAAUUGAUUCGCUCAAACGCUGAUAGGAGAAUCGAAUUCAUCUCCUCAAGAUGUUGGAGGAUCAAGUAGCGUAUCUAUUGCAGAGGUACCUGGGGAAUUAUGUCCAGGGCCUCAGUAAAGAAGCUUUAAAGAUCAGUGUCUGGCGAGGUGAUGUGGAG
rnacentral:misc_RNA from 1 species